UGGUGUGGCUCAAUGGCAGAGCAGCUGAUUUGUAAUCAGCAGGUUGUUGGUUCGACUCCGAUCACC
rnacentral:tRNA from 4 species